UACGUAGGGGGCAAGCGUUAUCCGGAUUUACUGGGUGUAAAGGGCGUGUAGGCGGGACUGCAAGUCAGAUGUGAAAACCACGGGCUCAACCUGUGGCCUGCAUUUGAAACUGUAGUUCUUGAGUACUGGAGAGGCAGACGGAAUUCCGUGUGUAGCGGUGAAAUGCGUAGAUAUACGGAGGAACACCAGCGGCGAAGGCGGCCUGCUGGACAUUAACUGACGCUGAGGCGCGAAAGCGUGGGGAGCAAACAGG
rnacentral:rRNA from 1 species